rnacentral:rRNA from 1 species
GUCCACGCCCUAAACGAUGAUGACUAGUUGUUGGGGAGGUUAAAUACCCUUACGUAACGCAGCUAACGCGUGAAGUCAUCCGCCUGGGGAGGUACGGUCGCAAGAUUAAAACUACAAGGAAAUUGACGGGGGCCCGGCACAAGCGGUGGAUGAUGUGGUUUAAUUCGACGCAACGCGAAAACCUUAACCUACCCUUGACAUGUGCGGAAUCCUGCAGAGAUGCAGGAGUGCCCGAAAGGGAACCGCAACACAGGUGCUGCAUGGCUGUCGU